AGGCGAAACAUCAACCCGUAACAGUUUGUAACGGGUUGAUGUCCAUCGAGGGCGGCCCCCUCGGUGCUGAUGAGCCAAGCCAUGA
rnacentral:hammerhead_ribozyme from 1 species